GAUUAACGCUGGCGGCAUGCCUAAUACAUGCAAGUCGAACGAGGUUACUUUGUAACCUAGUGGCAAACGGGUGAGUAAUAUAUGUUUAACCUACCUUAAAGCGUGGAAUAACUAUUGGAAACGAUAGCUAAUACCACAUAGCGUAUUAAAAGGCAUCUUUUAAUGCUUAAAGACGCGUUUGCGUCGCUUUUAAAUGGGAACAUACCGCAUUAGCUAGUUGGUAAGGUAAUGGCUUACCAAGGCGAUGAUGCGUAGCCGGACUGAGAGGUCGAUCGGCCACAAUGGGACUGAGACACGGCCCAUACUCCUACGGGAGGCAGCAGUAGGGGAAUUUUCCACAAUGGACGAAAGUCUGAUGGAGCAAUGCCGCGUGAGGGAUGAAGGUCUUCGGAUUGUAAACCUCUGUUGAUAGGAAAGAAUACGUAUAAUAGGAAAUGAUUAUACUUUUGACGGUACCUGUCCAGAAAGUCACGGCAAACUAUGUGCCAG
rnacentral:rRNA from 1 species